rnacentral:rRNA from 1 species
CCUACGGGUGGCAGCAGUGAGGAAUAUCGGUCAAUGGACGAGAGUCUGAACCAGCCAAGUAGCGUGAAGGAUGACUGCCCUAUGGGUUGUAAACUUCUUUUAUAUGGGAAUAAAAUGUUCCACGUGUGGGAUUUUGUAUGUACCAUAUGAAUAAGGAUCGGCUAACUCCGUGCCAGCAGCCGCGGUAAUACGGAGGAUCCGAGCGUUAUCCGGAUUUAUUGGGUUUAAAGGGAGCGUAGGUGGAUUGUUAAGUCAGUUGUGAAAGUUUGCGGCUCAACCGUAAAAUUGCAGUUGAAACUGGCAGUCUUGAGUACAGUAGAGGUGGGCGGAAUUCGUGGUGUAGCGGUGAAAUGCUUAGAUAUCACGAAGAACUCCGAUUGCGAAGGCAGUUCACUGGACUGCAACUGACACUGAGGCUCGAAAGUGUGGGUAUCAAACAGGAUUAGAUACCCGUGUAGUC